rnacentral:rRNA from 1 species
GACGAACGCUGGCGGCGUGCUUAACACAUGCAAGUCGAACGGAAAGGCCCUGCUUUUGUGGGGUGCUCGAGUGGCGAACGGGUGAGUAACACGUGAGUAACCUGCCCUUGACUUUGGGAUAACUUCAGGAAACUGGGGCUAAUACCGGAUAGGAGCUCCUGCUGCAUGGUGGGGGUUGGAAAGUUUCGGCGGUUGGGGAUGGACUCGCGGCUUAUCAGCUUGUUGGUGGGGUAGUGGCUUACCAAGGGUUUGACGGGUAGCCGGCCUGAGAGGGUGACCGGCCACAUUGGGACUGAGAUACGGCCCAGACUCCUACGGGGGGCAGCAGUGGGGAAUAUUGCACAAUGGGCGGAAGCCUGAUGCAGAAGCGCCGCGUGCGGGAUGACGGCCUUCGGGUUGUAAACCGCUUUCGCCUGUGACGAAGCGUGAGUGACGGUAAUGGGUAAAGAAGCACCGGCUAACUACGUG